UACGAAGGGGGCUAGCGUUGUUCGGAAUUACUGGGCGUAAAGCGUGCGCAGGCGGUCUCUCAAGUCAGGGGUGAAAGCCCAGAGCUCAACUCUGGAAUUGCCCUUGAAACUGUGAGGCUCGAGUGCGGGAGAGGUGAGUGGAAUUCCCAGUGUAGAGGUGAAAUUCGUAGAUAUUGGGAAGAACACCGGUGGCGAAGGCGGCUCACUGGCCCGUUUCUGACGCUCAUGCACGAUAGCGUGGGGAUCAAACAGA
rnacentral:rRNA from 1 species